rnacentral:rRNA from 1 species
GACGAACGCUGGCGGCGUGCUUAACACAUGCAAGUCGAACGGAAAGGCCCUGCUUUUGUGGGGUGCUCGAGUGGCGAACGGGUGAGUAACACGUGAGUAACCUGCCCUUGACUUUGGGAUAACUUCAGGAAACUGGGGCUAAUACCGGAUAGGAGCUCCUGCUGCAUGGUGGGGGUUGGAAAGUUUCGGCGGUUGGGGAUGGAAUCGCGGCUUAUCCGCUUGUUGGUGGGGUAGUGGCUUACCAAGGCUUUGACGGGUAGCCGGCCUGAGAGGGUGACCGGCCACAUUGGGACUGAGAUACGGCCCAGACUCCUACGGGAGGCAGCAGUGGGGAAUAUUGCACAAUGGGCGGAAGCCUGAUGCAGCAACGCCGCGUGCGGGAUGACGGCCUUCGGGUUGUAAACCGCUUUCGCCUGUGACGAAGCGUGAGUGACGGUAAUGGGUAAAGAAGCACCGGCUAACUACGUG